AUAACGACUCUCGGCAACGGAUAUCUCGGCUCUCGCAUCGAUGAAGAACGUAGCGAAAUGCGAUACUUGGUGUGAAUUGCAGAAUCCCGUGAACCAUCGAGUCUUUGAACGCAAGUUGCGCCCGAAACCAUCAGGUUGAGGGCACGUCUGCCUGGGCGUCACG
rnacentral:rRNA from 1 species